GCCGCGUGUAUGAAGAAGGCCUUCGGGUUGUAAAGUACUUAUCAGCGAGGAGGAAGGCAUUAAGGUUAAUAACCUUGGUGAUUGACGUUACUCGCAGAAGAAGCACCGGCUAACUCCGUGCCAGCAGCCGCGGUAAUACGGAGGGUGCAAGCGUUAAUCGGAAUUACUGGGCGUAAAGCGCACGCAGGCGGUCUGUCAAGUCGGAUGUGAAAUCCCCGGGCUCAACCUGGGAACUGCAUUCGAAACUGGCAGGCUAGAGUCUUGUAGAGGGGGGUAGAAUUCCAGGUGUAGCGGUGAAAUGCGUAGAGAUCUGGAGGAAUACCGGUGGCGAAGGCGGCCCCCUGGACAAAGACUGACGCUCAGGUGCGAAAGCGUGGGGAGCAAACAGGAUUA
rnacentral:rRNA from 1 species